CCUGACUCACGGGCUCACGGCCUGCAACGCAAAGCGUCUCCUUUAGGACUAUUGGGCUUUUUACCCUUCCGGUUCGGAGGGCAGGACAGCCCACUAGCCCACAGACUAGUUCAAUUAUGAUUGGCUGGCCACGUUUCCACCUGCAACUCCGUACUUCUAUUACUCGCGAAAACUCUCAAAAAAAAAACUCGCGAAAGCACACCAGAGCACCCCUUCUAUUCACACCACACGUCAGAAUCCCCGCGUAUACACCACACGUCAGGAAUAGAAAUGAUGAGAAGUUAAAAUGUUCCCGCAAAAAAAAAGAGAAGUUAAAAGGGUGACCGAAAUGACACACCAUAUACAUGAAAGUAUCAAGUAUGAACACCAAAUUUUAAACCCUGAUGAAUAAAAUCAUGAGGAAAUUGCAUGCC
rnacentral:lncRNA from 1 species